rnacentral:rRNA from 1 species
GACGAACGCUGGCGGCGUGCUUAACACAUGCAAGUCGAACGGAAAGGCCCUGCUUUUGUGGGGUGCUCGAGUGGCGAACGGGUGAGUAACACGUGAGUAACCUGCCCUUGACUGUGGGAUAACUUCAGGAAACUGGGGCUAAUACCGGAUAGGAGCUCCUGCUGCAUGGCGGGGGUUGGAAAGUUUCGGCGGUUGGGGAUGGACUCGCGGCUUAUCAGCUUGUUGGUGGGGUAGUGGCUUACCAAGGCCUUGACGGGUAGCCGGCCUGAGAGGGUGACCGGCCACAUUGGGACUGAGAUACGGCCCAGACUCCUACGGGGGGCAGCAGUGGGGAAUAGUGCACAGUGGGCGGAAGCCUGAUGCAGCAACGCCGCGUGCGGGAUGACGGCCUUCGGGUUGUAAACCGCUUUCGCCUGUGACGAAGCGUGAGUGACGGUAAUGGGUAAAGAAGCACCGGCUAACUACGUG